CUCGCCUUCUGCCAGAAGUCUGGCGGAUCUCAGUUGUGGCAGUCGAUUGUCCAGCUUCUCCCGAUCCUCCGUAUUGGGACCUCCAUCUCGGUGGGCUCCAGAGCAUCGACGCUGUUCUGGUUUAAUCGUUGGGCCGGGGACAUUCCCUUUGCGGCUCGCUUCCCCGGCCUCUUCUCUAUCUCCGCCGAUCCCGUGAUUUCUGUUGAUGGGGCCCUUCUUGACUUAGGGCGCCUUGCUUUCCGACGGCCUUUUGGUCCCUUGGAAUCCGCUGCCUGGCGUGAGUUGCUUGACUGUUUUGCUCUCCACGAACCGAUGGUGGAUGGUGGCCCGGACCUAGUGCGCUAGCGCCUUGAGCCUUCGGGUCAAUUCUCCACCAAGUCGCUGUACCUGGCCAUCGCUCCAUCUUCCGUCCCCCUCCCCCUAUCAAUGGUGUGGUCCAUCCGCCUGCCCCUGAAGAUCCGUAUCUUCAUGUGGCAAUGGAUUCGCGGGCGGGUCCCGUCCGGGGUGGAGGUGCACAAGCGAAACGGCCUGGGUACUGGCAUUUGCCCGCUCUGUGGGGUCGCCAAAGACUCGAACCACAUUUUCUUCUCAUGCGUGUCCGCUCAGUUCCUCUGGAGCUGCUUUCGCGAAGCGGUCGGUGGAAAUUGGUGCCACACCAACUUCCCUGACUUAUUUGCCGAACUCCAGAUGUCCCCCGUGACUUCUCGCCACAUUAGGUGGCUUGAGAUUGGGGUCCUCGCAUGGACCCUCUGGACUGUCCGCAAUAAGCUUGUGAUUCAGCGCACUCCUCUUCGACGGGCUAUUGACGCUCUUUUCAAACUCUCGGGUUUCUUGCAGCUUUGGCGGCCGCUUAGCUGCCCCCGGACCGCGACGCCAUCUCAGCCUUCAUCGCCGACCUUCGCUCGAUGGCCGUCCGUCUGUCGCCGCCGCCGCCGCCGCCACCGCCGGAACCAGACUAGGCGCUAUCUUUGUCUGGCGUGUUCUGUUUUUUAUUUUCUGGGCUUCUUGAGCUGUGCCCUCCGUAGAAGCUCUGUACUUUGUUGUGAGACUUGGGUGUGUGUGUGGACUUGA
rnacentral:rRNA from 1 species